rnacentral:rRNA from 1 species
GAUGAACGCUAGCUACAGGCUUAUCACAUGCAAGUCGAGGGGUAACGAGAGGAAAGCUUGCUUUCCUUGUCGACGACCGGCGCACGGGUGAGUAACGCGUAUCCAACCUGCCCCCAACUAGGGAAUAACCUUGCGAAAGUAAGACUAAUACCCUAUAAUUUCCUCAGAUGUCAUCUGACGAGGAAUAAAGAUUCAUCGGUUGUGGAUGGGGAUGCGCCUGAUUAGCUUGUUGGCGGGGUAACGGCCCACCAAGGCAACGAUCAGUAGGGGUUCUGAGAGGAAGGUCCCCACAUUGGAACUGAGACACGGUCCAAACUCCUACGGGAGGCAGCAGUGAGGAAUAUUGGUCAAUGGGCGGAAGCCUGAACCAGCCAUGUAGCGUGCAGGAUGACGGCCCUAUGGGUUGUAAACUGCUUUUAUACAGGAAUAAAGUUAGCCACGUGUGGUUAUUUGUAGGUACUGUAUGAAUAAGGACCGGCUAAUUCCGUGCCAGCAGCCGCCGUAA